rnacentral:rRNA from 1 species
AUUGAACGCUGGCGGCAUGCCUUACACAUGCAAGUCGAACGGCAGCACGGGGGCAACCCUGGUGGCGAGUGGCGAACGGGUGAGUAAUGCAUCGGAACGUGCCCAGUAGUGGGGGAUAACCAGUCGAAAGACUGGCUAAUACCGCAUACGACCUACGGGUGAAAGCGGGGGACCGUAAGGCCCCGCGCCAUUGGAGCGGCCGAUGUCUGAGUAGCUAGUUGGCGGGGUAAGAGCCCACCAAGGCGACGAUCAGUAGCUGGUCUGAGAGGACGACCGGCCACACUGGGACUGAGACACGGCCCAGACUCCUACGGGAGGCAGCAGUGGGGAAUUUUGGACAAUGGGCGCAAGCCUGAUCCAGCAAUGCCGCGUGCAGGAUGAAGGCCUUCGGGUUGUAAACUGCUUUUGUACGGAACGAAAAGCCCUGGGUUAAUACCCUGGGGUCAUGACGGUACCGUAAGAAUAAGCACCGGCUAACUACGUGCCAGCCGCCGCGGUAACAC